rnacentral:rRNA from 1 species
UUCCGUUAAUUGAUUAUGACGUGCUUGCACUGAAUGAGAUUUUAACACGAAGUGAGUGGCGGACGGGUGAGUAACACGUGGGUAACCUGCCCAGAAGCAGGGGAUAACACCUGGAAACAGAUGCUAAUACCGUAUAACAGAGAAAACCGCCUGGUUUUCUUUUAAAAGAUGGCUCUGCUAUCACUUCUGGAUGGACCCGCGGCGCAUUAGCUAGUUGGUGAGGUAACGGCUCACCAAGGCGAUGAUGCGUAGCCGACCUGAGAGGGUAAUCGGCCACAUUGGGACUGAGACACGGCCCAGACUCCUACGGGAGGCAGCAGUAGGGAAUCUUCCACAAUGGACGCAAGUCUGAUGGAGCAACGCCGCGUGAGUGAAGAAGGGUUUCGGCUCGUAAAGCUCUGUUGUUAAAGAAGAACGUGGGUGAGAGUAACUGUUCACCCAGUGACGGUAUUUAACCAGAAAGCCACGGCUAACUACGUGCCAGCAGCCGCGGUAAUACGUAGGUGGCAAGCGUUAUCCGGAUUUAUUGGGCGUAAAGCGAGCGCAGGCGGUCUUUUAAGUCUAAUGUGAAAGCCUUCGGCUCAACCGAAGAAGUGCAUUGGAAACUGGGAGACUUGAGUGCAGAAGAGGACAGUGGAACUCCAUGUGUAGCGGUGAAAUGCGUAGAUAUAUGGAAGAACACCAGUGGCGAAGGCGGCUGUCUGGUCUGUAACUGACGCUGAGGCUCGAAAGCAUGGGUAGCGAACAGGAUUAGAUACCCUGGUAGUCCAUGCCGUAAACGAUGAUUACUAAGUGUUGGAGGGUUUCCGCCCUUCAGUGCUGCAGCUAACGCAUUAAGUAAUCCGCCUGGGGAGUACGACCGCAAGGUUGAAACUCAAAAGAAUUGACGGGGGCCCGCACAAGCGGUGGAGCAUGUGGUUUAAUUCGAAGCUACGCGAAGAACCUUACCAGGUCUUGACAUCUUCUGCCAACCUAAGAGAUUAGGCGUUCCCUUCGGGGACAGAAUGACAGGUGGUGCAUGGUUGUCGUCAGCUCGUGUCGUGAGAUGUUGGGUUAAGUCCCGCAACGAGCGCAACCCUUAUUACUAGUUGCCAGCAUUCAGUUGGGCACUCUAGUGAGACUGCCGGUGACAAACCGGAGGAAGGUGGGGACGACGUCAAAUCAUCAUGCCCCUUAUGACCUGGGCUACACACGUGCUACAAUGGAUGGUACAACGAGUCGCGAAACCGCGAGGUUUAGCUAAUCUCUUAAAACCAUUCUCAGUUCGGACUGUAGGCUGCAACUCG